AGAAUGCCGGUGUGAGUAGCGAAAGACGGGUGAGAAUCCCGUCCACCGAUUGACUAAGGUUUCCAGAGGAAGGCUCGUCCGCUCUGGGUUAGUCGGGUCCUAAGCUGAGGCCGACAGGCGUAGGCGAUGGAUAACAGGUUGAUAUUCCUGUACCACCUAUAAUCGUUUUAAUCGAUGGGGGGACGCAGUAGGAUAGGCGAAGCGUGCGAUUGGAUUGCACGUCUAAGCAGUAAGGCUGAGUAUUAGGCAAAUCCGGUACUCAUUAAGGCUGAGCUGUGAUGGGGAGAAGACAUUGUGUCUUCGAGUCGUUGAUUUCACACUGCCGAGAAAAGCCUCUAGAUAGAAAAUAGGUGCCCGUACCGCAAACCGACACAGGUAGUCAAGAUGAGAAUUCUAAGGUGAGCGAGCGAACUCUCGUUAAGGAACUCGGCAAAAUGACCCCGUAACUUCGGGAGAAGGGGUGCUCUUUAGGGUUAACGCCCAGAAGAGCCGCAGUGAAUAGGCCCAAGCGACUGUUUAUCAAAAACACAGGUCUCUGCUAAACCGUAAGGUGAUGUAUAGGGGCUGACGCCUGCCCGGUGCUGGAAGGUUAAGAGGAGUGGUUAGCUUCUGCGAAGCUACGAAUCGAAGCCCCAGUAAACGGCGGCCGUAACUAUAACGGUCCUAAGGUAGCGAAAUUCCUUGUCGGGUAAGUUCCGACCCGCACGAAAGGCGUAACGAUUUGGGCACUGUCUCAACGAGAGACUCGGUGAAAUCAUAGUACCUGUGAAGAUGCAGGUUACCCGCGACAGGACGGAAAGACCCCGUGGAGCUUUACUGUAGCCUGAUAUUGAAAUUCGGCACAGCUUGUACAGGAUAGGUAGGAGCCUUUGAAACGUGAGCGCUAGCUUACGUGGAGGCGCUGGUGGGAUACUACCCUAGCUGUGUUGGCUUUCUAACCCGCACCACUUAUCGUGGUGGGAGACAGUGUCAGGCGGGCAGUUUGACUGGGGCGGUCGCCUCCUAAAAGGUAACGGAGGCGCUCAAAGGUUCCCUCAGAAUGGUUGGAAAUCAUUCAUAGAGUGUAAAGGCAUAAGGGAGCUUGACUGCGAGACCUACAAGUCGAGCAGGGUCGAAAGACGGACUUAGUGAUCCGGUGGUUCCGCAUGGAAGGGCCAUCGCUCAACGGAUAAAAGCUACCCCGGGGAUAACAGGCUUAUCUCCCCCAAGAGUUCACAUCGACGGGGAGGUUUGGCACCUCGAUGUCGGCUCAUCGCAUCCUGGGGCUGUAGUCGGUCCCAAGGGUUGGGCUGUUCGCCCAUUAAAGCGGUACGCGAGCUGGGUUCAGAACGUCGUGAGACAGUUCGGUCCCUAUCCGUCGUGGGCGUAGGAAAUUUGAGAGGAGCUGUCCUUAGUACGAGAGGACCGGGAUGGACAUACCUCUGGUGUACCAGUUGUCGUGCCAACGGCAUAGCUGGGUAGCUAUGUGUGGACGGGAUAAGUGCUGAAAGCAUCUAAGCAUGAAGCCCCCCUCAAGAUGAGAUUUCCCAACUUCGGUUAUAAGAUCCCUCAAAGAUGAUGAGGUUAAUAGGUUCGAGGUGGAAGCAUGGUGACAUGUGGAGCUGACGAAUACUAA
rnacentral:rRNA from 1 species